rnacentral:tRNA from 3 species
GGCGCCGUGGCCAAGUGGUAAGGCAGAGGACUGCAAAUCCUCGACCCCCGGUUCGAAUCCGGGCGGCGCCU